rnacentral:rRNA from 1 species
GACGAACGCUGGCGGCGUGCUUAACACAUGCAAGUCGAGCGGUAAGGCCUUUCGGGGUACACGAGCGGCGAACGGGUGAGUAACACGCGGGUGAUCUGCCCUGCACUCUGGGAUAAGCCUGGGAAACUGGGUCUAGUACUGGAUAUGACCUCAGCAUGCAUGUGCUGCGGUGGAAAGCUUUUGUGGUGCAGGAUGGGCCCGCGGCCGAUGAGCUUGUUGGUGGGGUAAUGGCCGACCAAGGCGACGACGGGUAGCCGACCUGAGAGGGUGACCGGCCACACUGGGACUGAGACACGGCCCAGACUCCUACGGGAGGCAGCAGUGGGGAAUAUUGCACAAUGGGCGGAAGCCUGAUGCAGCGACGCCGCGUGAGGGAUGAAGGCCUUCGGGUUGUAAACCUCUUUCAGCAGGGACGAAGCGUGAGUGACGGUACCUGCAGAAGAAGCACCGGCUAACCACGUGCCAGCCGCCGCAGUAA